GAUGAACGCUGGCGGCGUGCCUAAUACAUGCAAGUCGAGCGAACAGACGAGGAGCUUGCUCCUCUGACGUUAGCGGCGGACGGGUGAGUAACACGUGGAUAACCUACCUAUAAUACUGGGAUAACUUCGGGAAACCGGAGCUAAUACCGGAUAAUAUAUUGAACCGCAUGGUUCAAUAGUGAAAGACGGUUUUGCUGUCACUUAUAGAUGGAUCCGCGCCGCAUUAGCUAGUUGGUAAGGUAACGGCUUACCAAGGCAACGAUGCGUAGCCGACCUGAGAGGGUGAUCGGCCACACUGGAACUGAGACACGGUCCAGACUCCUACGGGAGGCAGCAGUAGGGAACCUUCCGCAAUGGGCGAAAGCCUGACGGAGCAACGCCGCGUGAGUGAUGAAGGUCUUCGGAUCGUAAAACUCUGUUAUUAGGGAAGAACAAAUGUGUAAGUAACUAUGCACGUCUUGACGGUACCUAAUCAGAAAGCCACGGCUAACUACGUG
rnacentral:rRNA from 1 species